rnacentral:rRNA from 1 species
UACGAAGGGGGCUAGCGUUGCUCGGAAUCACUGGGCGUAAAGGGUGCGUAGGCGGGUCUUUAAGUCAGGGGUGAAAUUCUGGAGCUCAACUCCAGAACUGCCUUUGAUACUGAAGAUCUUGAGUUCGGGAGAGGUGAGUGGAACUGCGAGUGUAGAGGUGAAAUUCGUAGAUAUUCGCAAGAACACCAGUGGCGAAGGCGGCUCACUGGCACGAUACUGACGCUGAGGCACGAAAGCGUGGGGAGCAAACAGG